AACAAUAUAUAAUAAAUAAUGCAUCGGCGAUACUUAAAUAGACUGAAUAGUUCAUUUACACCUUAAAAAAUUUGGUCGAAGUCACUCGACUUUAAAACCGAUUUUUUGGAAACUGAAUCCAGGAACCUACGAAUGCACCAAAUGCAAUUCUGGUACAAUAAUACUGUAGAGAAGGGAGGGGUUAUAUGUAUUAUAGGAUCGAGGAUCGGUGCAUUGGUGCAGCUAUCAGUCGGUCUCUCGGUAUUCGGUAAAAUCCCUGAAGCUAGAUGAGGUAGGUACUUCAUGUGUGUACGGUCGACGUUGAAAAAAAUUUCAUCGAUUUAGAUUUUUAAAUUUCUAUUAUCAGUAUAUGUCAAUUUGUUUUUCAAUUCUCCACAAGUAGAUGAAAUGUUUGAAAUGGAUUUUUUGCUGCCUCCUGUUAACGAUUAUAGUUAUAGUAGUGAAAGAGAUACCCUUUUUGCUUUCGUGUUAAAAGUUCCACUUCCUGAAAGGAAACCUGACAGAUCGGAAAUGCCCAAUAAGAUCCUGCGAGGUUUUCUGGACUAUUUUAAUUUGAAAGGACACGUACCGCCACUCUACCCAACAUUGAUAAACGCAUCUGUAUUAUCUUCCUGGCUGCGAUUCGAAUUUGGAAUAGGCCUAGUGUUGGAAAUUUCUACUAUCGAUCGAUACGAACUAUCAUUUACGUUUGAAGGUCAUGAUUACUACGUGUGCAUAAUGCAGAAUCGUGGAGAAAUGAGAUUAAUGGAUGAUACGUUAGGGAGAUUCGCACUUAUACCGAUGGAAGCGAUUGAGUGUAUUCCAAACGCCAAUUUAUCAGGCCAGAAUCAAGAUAUUGGAGUAUACCCUGAUGAAGCCAGAAUUAACACAGAAAGAUUAGUUGAACGCUUUUACAGCGUCUUUUUCGAUCAAAUGUACCUACUGUUACGAAUAGAUUUUACAUGAAUACCUACCGUUAAUGACUUCGAUGCGAAUAUUUAUUGCUGAGGUAACGUUGUGUCGAAUGUGUAAAAGGCUGAUUUUGCAGAAACCCAUAUGAAAAAUCGCGUGAUAUAACGGUACAUCAAAAAUAUGGAAGGGAAUUCUUUGGCGAAUUAUUUUAAUUAUUAUUACCGAGCAAAAUAGUCGAGAAAGAAAAGACCAACGUUAGAAAUUCACACCUCUGGUUUUUUCAAACCCUUCCAUAUCUCGUUUUCCAAGUAUUAUUAGAGUUAUGGUAUUUUCGAAGUGAUUUUUUUUAAAAUAGUAGAAACAGAUAAAUUUUAUUAUGUUGCACCUGUGGUAAAUUUUAAUGAAUCGAUUUGAAAGUUUGUUGUGUUAAAUGAGUUUUAUUUAAAAGCUGUAAAGAUAUUUAUUUUUAAAUGGUGUCGGAAAUAUUACGUUGUAUUGGCUGUGUUUUACGAAGAAAAUCAAUUUGAAUUUUGUUGUGUCGUUUUGAAUUGAGUUGGAAAUUUUUAAAAAAUCGAAUUGAAGAAAUCUGUGUCCUAUUCGUCGAGGUUUGAAUAUUCAAUUACGGUUCUAAGAUUGAAGAUUGGUUUUGAUUGGUCCAGAUCCCCCCUAACAACUUGGCGCCCAACUACGUCGAAUCCUGUCCUGAAUCAAAGGGUCCAAUUUAUACAGAAGUUGUUAUCUAGUUGUUCAAUCCAGUCCAGAUCGAAUCAAAGGGUCCAAUUUAUACAGAAGUCGUUAUCUAGUUGUUCAAUCCAUUCCAGAUCAAAGGGUCCAUUUUUCCUGUGAAAACUCAAGAUGUCUGGUCAACAUUCAAUCCAGGUAGAAUGAUUUUACAUACAUCAUCGAAUUCGUGAAAUUUGAGAGAAAGUAGAUUGGAAAAUUCUGUGUUCAUGUGUAACUUUACUAUUUACUGAUUUUUGUCCCAAAUUUUUACUUUAUUUACAAUUUUGAAAUUCAUUUUGGUCCCAAAUUUCAAAUUUUAUUUACGUUUUUGAGACUCAUUUUGUACCAAAUUUUAAUGGUAUUUACUUCGCGAUUUAUUUUGUCCCAAAAUUUCAAAUUUAUUCACAUUUUCGUUAUUUAUUGUUUCCCAACUUUGAAUCAGUGUCCUUUAAUUGAAAUACGUAAAUUGAGAUAUUUUAUCAGAAUAAUUAUAAUGAUCAAUGACCAUACAACUUUGAUGAUAAUCCUCAAAACAAUAACUCCAGAAACAAAAAUUAUGAAAAAUCGGCAGAAACACAAAAAAACAAUUUAAUAAUAGGGGUACUGUUUUACAAGAAAAAAAAACGGAGAUGGGGAAGAGGUAGGGCAGAAAAUCUUUUCUGAAAUUUUAAUGUAAAUAACAUAGGUAAUAAAAAAUAACCCUUCCCUUGAAAUCUCUGACUAUCAGAUUGUAAAUUUGACUCUGCAAACAAAAAACUAAACACAAUAAUCAAAACUGGAUCAUUUAUUACUUCCUGACACUCUGUCAUGUAUGAUUACAAACAUUACAAUUCGCCAACAAAAAAAUAAAAUAAAAUAAAAACUGAAAAUAGGAAACUAAAAAACUGGAAAUAACGGUGAAAAUGUAAAAAACAAUGACGGAAAUGAAAAUCUUGAACCAAUUGUUGAAAUGAAAUGCCAAAAUGAUAAAAAACUGGAAAAAUCAAACAAUCACAUGAGGUAAAGAGGAUUGAGAAUAGAGAAAAUGAGAAAUGGGAUGAAAAGUAAACGAUGAAAAAUAUGAAAAAAUAAUGAAAGAAAAAAAAAAGUGUGAGAAAAAUUUUAAAAGGGAAAAAAGUAGGAAAAAGUGUGAGAAAUGAAAAAUUGAAUUUAUUGAAAGGGAAAAAUACUACAAAUUUGGAAAAUUUGAAUGAAUGAAAAAAAAAAACAAAAAACAAAUGAGGAAUUAUUAACAACAAAAAUGAGGAAGAAUGUUAACAACCUGAAAAAUUAUUCUGGGAAUAUUUACGAAAAAUUGUUCAAAUUAACAAUGACAAAUCCUCUGAAUCUAAUUUGGCGAUUAGGUAAGGGGAUAAGAUGAGGGCCGCGCGCCAACGCGACCCAAAUCCUAAAUAAUUGUUUAACAGAACAAUAAUAACUACGUAAUAUUAUCAGAAUGAUUAACACAUGAAAGAAAAGGUCGAAGUCAGUAUUUUCUUAUGUUUGGGAAGCAUGCCACCCUACCAAUUCAAAAUAAAUACACCCUAGGGUGGAAAAAUUGAUAGAACGGACAAAGCUUCUUAGACUACAUGAAUUACGAGACAAAGUACUAAAGUGGAUUGAAAAAAAAAAAAAAAAUGAAAAAUGAAAAGAAAAAAAAAUAGAAAUUAGUUCUCAUGUUGAUUGUUCAUAUAUGUACUCAAGAAAAAAUUGGUUUUUGAGCGGAAAAAAAUUCUCAUACAACAAAUUUACCUAUUUCAAUGACCCUAAAGAUGUUAUUUAUUAUUGUACUGUUAAAUCAUUUUAGGUAUGUUCACAAAAAUUAUAGAUAUUGACCUUGAGUCUCAUUUUAUUGAAAACUUAUGUACCUAUGUAUGUACUUUUACUGAUAUGGUGAAUUCUUGUUUCCUUCAUUGUAUAUGCAAUAUAUUUACAUGUCUUAAUCAAAUUUAUAUAUAAAUCAGAAAUCAAAAACCCCAAAGCAAACCAGCCUUUAAGAUUAACAUGUUAAGCUGCAAUUUUUGUAUUGGAAAAUGUGUCAAUUUGUUUUUAUAUAUUUAUCGAAUUGGGAAAACUAUAUUUUAAAUUAUUGUAGAAAAACGAGAAAUGGAAGAUGAUAAAGUUUGGUCACAAAAUCAAAAAUCAAAAAAUUUAUAAAGGGGGGGAAUUUGUUACGAAUAGAUUUUACAUGAAUACCUACCGUUAAUGACUUCGAUGCGAAUAUUUAUUGCUGAGAAUACGAUUGAAUGAUCAUCCAGAUCUGCAGCUGCCACCUGGUGACCAGUAACGAAAAGUUUCUGUGUUUAGGCCUUAGGGACAUCAGACUGACCUUCAUAUUUUUUUUGGAAGGAUUACCUAUCGUUACCUACCUCCGAAGAAUAAAAAAAACCCUCUUCAUCGAACCAGCGAAUCGAGCAGUGGCGUUGAAGAAAUGAAGAAUCGUCUUCUAAAACGACGAUCUCUUUGGAGACUGUUUUAAAUGCUGCUGUUCUUUCUACCAUCAACCAACCGGUUGCCGUUUAAUCGUAUUUUUCACUUAGGUUUUUUAUUCUACGUUUUUUUGUACCUUUUUACAAUAUUUAAAAAAAAUCGAUGUACGUAUAAUCUUCGUUCUAACGAGUAGGUAUAUAUAAUAUUUUUGUAUAUAUUUUUAGAGUUUUUUUUUCUUUUUUCGUUCUUAUAUUGUUUAACCAUGAGUUAUUUAUUUAUUUAUUCAUUUAUUUUUAUACAGUUACAUAUAUAUUAAUUCUAAAUGGGGUAAAAUUCGCCCCAAAUGAAUAAAAUUUGAAACGUC